ACGUGCGUGCUUGCGUGUCUCCCUCUGCCGCCCUCUCAGAAAGACGCUUACGAGCAGGCUUGGGACCUGCUGGACUUUCCCAGAUGAUACCCCGAACUCAUGAUCCCUUGCUUACAGCUGCAAAAUCUUUACCUCAGGGAAUACCAUGCAGGACACGGUGGAAAGGUGACCAUCUCAAGCCAGGAAGAGAAGCCUCACUGCCACCGACGCUGCUGGCACCUUGACCUUGGACUUCCAGCUUCCAGAACUGGAGAAAUAAAUUGUCGUGGCAUAAACUGGAACUCUGCCUCUGAGACAUUCUGGAGAAUGGAGUUUCUGGGCUUCCAGCUCCUGCUAUGGAGGUGAUAGUAACGAUCAGUGUGGGAAUGGGUUUCAGGUUCCAACAGACAAUUGAUAAAAUAGACUGUCCAUUUCGAAGACACUCAGAACAUCCAAUCUGCCCACCAGUUUUGUCUGCUUUACCUACAUAAUGCAAUUCAAAUCCAUUUCAGUUUGAUCUCUGUACUCUGCAACUGCCAGUAAUUCAAGAUAACAGUGCUUCUCAUGUGAAGUAUUACAACACUUAUCUUGUUUUCCUCUUCCCGCAUUGCCCUCUGUAUUACCCAUGAUAAGUCUGGUUAUGCCGUGGUUACAAACAAUUCCAAAAUGGCAGUGGCUUAACCCAACUAGUAUUCCUUUCAUGCUCCUGUUAUAUGCUUCUUAUGGACUUUCAAGGGACUCUGUUGUGUAUCAUCAUUUAGGGGCCCAGGCUGACUGAGACUCCACCAUCGUACAGAGCAGCGUCUGGAAUAUUCAGCCGCCUCCACGGCUGUGGCACAAAAUGUAAAGGGCUGGAGCACUGUUGAUGGGGGUUUGACGACUAAGCCGACCAGUGACAUGGCCCCACUCAACUCCAAGAAAUAUGAAAUAUGGACUAUUUGGUUGAAACUAAUGUUUAUACCACACUUCCUAUAGUCAGCUUUCUAUAUUUCAUCCAGAUGAAUAGUUAUAGAACAUAAGUCAGAUCAUAUCAUUGUUUCCGCUUAAAAACAUUCAGGUGUUCCAGUUGGCACAUAAAAUAGAACUAAGACCUUUUAUUAUGUUCUACCAGACACUACAGGAUCUGCAUUAGCAUUUUUAAAAUUUCUUAAUGUUUAUUUAUUUUUGAGAGAGAGAGAGAAUGACAGCAGAGGAGGGGCGGAGAAAGAGACACAGAAUCCAAAGCAGGUUCCAGGUUCUGAGCUGUCAGCACAGAGCCCUAUGCUGGGCUUGAACUCACAAACCGUGAGAUAAUGUCCUCAGCUGAAGUCAGAAGCUUAACCUACUGAACCACCCAGGCAUCACUGCAGUACCAUUUUUUUAUCGUACUUUUCUUAUCAUUUCUGUUCUUGCUCAAUUCGGUACAAGAUUUUUUGUUUUGUUUUGUUUAAUGUUCUUUAAACACAUCAAGAUAUUUCCUGACCUAGGGCUUUGCAACAGCUAUUCCUUCUGAGUAGAACUGCUUUUAGUGAGGUUUUUGCACGACUAGUUCAUUCUCAUUCUUUAGGACUCUACUUAAAUGUCAACCUCCACAUUUUAUUCUCCAGUAUAAGAGCUUUAUAUCACUGUUCACAAUCUGUAAAUUGUUUACAAGUUUACUGUUUGUCUCUAACCCUUUCAAAAGAAACUUCAUGAGGGCAAGGACCAUUUCAGUCUUAUUUUAGCCUUGUCUCCACCUCAUAGACUAGCAUCUGACCUAAAAUAGUCACCGCAUUAAUAUAUGUUGAGUAAAAAAACAGAUCAGUUAAUUGUGUCUAUCAUUAUUGACCAAAGUGUUUAAAAAGGGAUUAAUAUAAGUUGGGGUGCUAUAUCAGACAUAGGUUAAUUUGAGAAUUUCUCUUUAUUUCUUUCUUUAAGAGUUAGGCAACUUCAAAAAUUCUACAUAUUUUCUUAUUAAUUAAAGAGUACUAUCUGAUGACAAAUUUUGUCUAUCUUACACACACA